rnacentral:rRNA from 1 species
CCUACGGGUGACAGCAGUAGGGAAUAUUGCUCAAUGGGGGAAACCCUGAAGCAGCAACGCCGCGUGGAGGAUGAAGGUCUUCGGAUCGUAAACCUCUGUCAGCAGGGAAGAACGGUCACUGUGCUAAUCAGCAGUGAAUUGACGGUACCUGCAAAGGAAGCACCGGCUAACUCCGUGCCAGCAGCCGCGGUAAUACGGAGGGUGCGAGCGUUAAUCGGAAUUACUGGGCGUAAAGCGCUCGUAGGCGGUAUGUCAAGUCAAGGGUGAAAUCCCCGCGCUCAACGUGGGAACUGCCUUUGAAACUGGCAAACUGGAGUGUGUGAGAGGAUAGUGGAAUUCCAGGUGUAGGAGUGAAAUCCGUAGAUAUCUGGAGGAACAUCAGUGGCGAAGGCGACUAUCUGGCACAUAACUGACGCUGAGGAGCGAAAGCGUGGGUAGCAAACAGGAUUAGAUACCCCAGUAGUC